rnacentral:rRNA from 1 species
CGCGGGAUUAGUGUGAUAAGGGAAUCCCCAGUGCUCACGUACUGCGUGGGCUUUUGCCAAGUGUAAAUAGCUUGGCGAAUAAGUGGUGGGUAAGACUGGUGCCAGCCGCCGCGGUAACACCAGCGCCACGAGUGGUGACCACGUUUAUUGGGCCUAAAGCGUCCGUAGCUGGCUCGUUAAAUCCUUUGUGAAAUUGUCCGGCUUAACCGUACAACGCGCAAGGGAGACUGGCGGGCUCGAGACCGGGAGGAGUCAGAAGUAUUCCUGAGGGAGCGGUAAAAUGUUAUAAUCUCAGGAGGACUACCUGUGGCGAAGGCGUCUGACUAGAACGGAUCUGACAGUGAGGGACGAAAGCCAGGGGAGCGAACCGGAUUAGAUACCCGAGUAGUCCUGGCCGUAAACGCUGUGAGCUAGGUGUUGCACCAGCUACAUGUUGGUGCAGUGUCGAAACGAAGGUGUUAAGCUCACCGCCUGGGAAGUACGGUCGCAAGACUGAAACUUUAAGGAAUUGGCGGGGGAGCACCACAAGGGGUGCGGCGUGCGGUUUAAUCUAACUCAACGCAGAGAACCUUACUAGAAGCGACGGCAAGAUGAAGGCCAACUUGAAGAGUUUACCUGAUGAGCCGAGAGGUGGUGCAUGGCCGCCGUCAGCUCGUGCUGUGAAGUGUCCAGCUAAGCCUGGCAACGAGCGAGACCUGUAUUCGCAAUUGCUAACAGCCACAUGUGGGACUGAGCACUUUGCGAAGACUGCCUUGGAAACAAGGAGGAAGGUGCAGGCUACGGUAGGUCUGUAUGCCCCGAAUCUUCUAGGCUACACGCGCGCAACAAUGGUUGGGACAAUGGGAUGCCACUCCGAAAGGAGAAGCUAAACCUCUAAACCCAAUCCAAGUCCAGAUUGAGGGUUGCAACUCACCCUCAUGACGACGGAAUCCCUAGUAAUCAGAAGUCAUCAUCUUCUGGUGAAUAUGUCCCUGCUCCUUGCACGAAUUCGCCGAAUCACUAGU